rnacentral:sRNA from 12 species
AGACCAAUCUUCUGCUAAGCUGAAGAUAAGCCCUUACGGACAGGCGGGUCGGUUGCCGG